rnacentral:rRNA from 1 species
UGCCAGCAGCCGCGGUAAUACGGAGGGGGUUAGCGUUGUUCGGAAUUACUGGGCGUAAAGCGCACGUAGGCGGAUCAGAAAGUUAGGGGUGAAAUCCCAGGGCUCAACCCUGGAACUGCCUCUCAUACUGGUAGUCUUGAGGUCGAGAGAGGUGAGUGGAAUUCCGAGUGUAGAGGUGAAAUUCGUAGAUAUUGGGAAGAACACCAGUGGCGAAGGCGGCUAACUGGCUCGGUACUGACGCUGAGAUGCGAAGCGUGGGGAGCAAACAGGAUUAGAUA